AAUCAUUAAGGUUGGAAAUACCACUAAGAUCAUCUAGUCUGACCAUCAGCCUGCGCCUGUGACCACUCUAGACCGUGUCCACGCCCUUCUGUGCAUCACCUACCCGUUUCUUGAAUAGCUCCACCACAUCCCUGGGCAGCCUGUUCCAAUACCUCACCACUCUUUCUGAGAAUAAUUUUUUCCUAAUAUCCAACCUAAGGAAGAGAGUGAUGCUGGUGUAAUAUCCUAUGCUCGUCUGGGAUGUGGAGCCUGAAGAGAAUGGUGCUGACGGGGUCAGGCAGAAGUGAAGAACGGCAGCAGUGGCAAAUGCAAAGACCCCUCACUCUUAACACCUCUUUCUCAUGCUUAAGACUUGAAAAGCAUCCCUGCUGCUGUUCCAGGAUCUGUAAGUCAAGGUGAUGAGGAGGAGAGGGGUGUGAUGAAGGAACGUAGUGUUUGUGGAGGUCCUGGCCAAGGUACGGUGCUCCAGCAAUGGGAUGCAGCAGUGUGCUUAAUGAGCCUGUGCUUGCAGCACUGGUUGUUGCUAGGUGGAAGUGGUGUCAGCCCAGAGUCAUCCUGCCCAAGAUCCCCUCAUGUUUGCAGGGGUGCAUCCCUGAGA
rnacentral:lncRNA from 1 species